ensembl:lncRNA
GUCUCUCCCUCUCCCCAUCCCUCCCUCUUUCUCCUUCUCUUCGUCUGUCAUGUGCGUGGGAUGCUCAUGCUUUGCACAGAGCAGCUGUAGCACGCCGAAUACAGGCUAGAGUGUUAGCGGCAAUUUUAAAGUCCCCCCCUCCCUUCCCUUCCGCUCCCCCACCCACCAAAUAAUACGGCUGGGAUAUUUGAAGGGAACAUACACCAUAUCACGGUACACUCGGACCCCGUUGUUCUUCACCGGGUUGGGACGGCUUCUGGUCUGAUUGUGACUCGCCAUUAGGAAUGCUGGAGAAAGGAAGCUGAGAGAGGAACUGCUUGCAGCAGGAAGUAGAGGUCAACACAAGAUUUCGGGGGUUUUGCUCUCUAAUGGACCCACAUGAGCAAAGUUAGCCCGUGUGUGUUGGAUAAAGGCAUAGAUGUUAGCAGUGGUCCAGAGGACACAGUAAACAGAAUAACAGCGGUUUGAAGGGAGCUCAGGCAACGUGAUCGUGGGCAAUAUCAAAUCCCAUGACCCAUUCUUUGCCCUGUGGUCGAUACCAAAGACAACAAGCACGGGGGAAACAGAGGUUACUGCUCACUAUUCAUCAUCACAACAAUGCACACACAAACAGUAACUACAACCAGGAAGUGAUUGCAAAAGAAACAUCUCCUCUAGCUACCAGAACCCGCACAUUAACACUAAUUACGUGCAAGGCAUCUUGCUGUUCACAUGCAACAUUUUUAUGCAAUCGUAGGCAGACAGAUAUUUUAAUGAUUAGUUUAAUGAAUGGUUCUCAUAAGAAUGAAAUUCUUUCUAAAUUAGCUGACAGCAAGAGCAAAUAUUCCUCAUAAUAUUCCAUAUAUAUAUCAUAUAUUCUUAGUUUGAUUCUUGCUGAUGCUGAAAAAAAGAAAAAAAAGAAAGAAGAAGCGCCGGUAUGGUGGCAUAUUAGCACCCUUAGGUCACAGUGCCCUGUGGCAUUACUGUUCUUAAUUACUCCCAGUACUCGUACGCAUUCGGUGGACUUCUCAGAAGAGCCAAUUAGAAGGUCAGGGCAAGUCACUUGGUAGGAGAAGUCACUGCAAAAGUCUGUAGAAGUCUUAAAUUUCACCCUCAUUCUCUUUCCCUCUCUCACACAACUUAGACAACACAAAAACAUUUACACUGUAAAUCUUCCUUUAGUCAUAUCUGUCGACCAUUAAAACAAGGACUAAUAAAAAAUAAAGGAUGUCUGCUACACAGUAUUGUUUGUUUAUAUUCCAUCACCUCAUUUGUUAUGCUAUAGUCAUAAUCAUCUAUCAGUCAUGCAGAUUUAAAGUACAGCUGCUUACUAUUAGGGUGCCAGCGGGAGUAAGUAUUUAUAAUGUGCCGCCUGCAUUCAGCGAAACCCUCGAGUCUUUGCAGGCCGGCUUCUGUAUCAUCAGUGCUAUCCCAC